rnacentral:rRNA from 1 species
AUACGUAGGGGGCAAGCGUUAUCCGGAUUUACUGGGUGUAAAGGGAGCGUAGACGGAAGGCCAAGUCUGAUGUGAAAGCCCGCGGCUCAACUGCGGGACUGCAUUGGAAACUGGUCAUCUGGAGUGCAGGAGGGGUAAGCGGAAUUCCUAGUGUAGCGGUGAAAUGCGUAGAUAUUAGGAGGAACACCAGUGGCGAAGGCGGCCUGCUGGACGACAACUGACGCUGAGGCGCGAAAGCGUGGGGAGCAAACAGGAUUAGAUACCCUGGUAGUCCACGCUGUAAACGAUGAAUACUAGGUGUGGGGGGACUGACCCCCUCCGUGCCGCAGUUAACACAAUAAGUAUUCCACCUGGGGAGUACGUUCGCAAGAAUGAAACUCAAAGGAAUUGACGGGG